rnacentral:tRNA from 1 species
AGCAGUGUAGCAUAGUGGUUAAGGAGUCGGACUUGUAACCGAAAGAUUGCUGGUUCGAAUCUCUGCUGGGGCACUGCUG